UGUUUUUUUUACGCGUAAAGGAUGAAAGGGGAGCAUGAGAGGUGAGUGUGUGGGGGGGAGGAGUAAGGGACAUGAAAAUAUUUUUUAUGAGUGCUCCAGGCGAACGGUUGGUACCAAGGCCUGUUGGCUGUCGAGCUCACUCGUGAUGCUACACCAUGCGACUAAACAUCGCUCGCGCUCAUAAUCGUGGUUGGUAAGCGGUUUUGGUAAGCGUGGUUGGUACUGCUUAAUAAAUAAUUUACUAUAAAUAUCUUUAGUAACUUCAAAACAACCAUACAUUUUUCUACGUUGGUGGAUAUGUGAAGUGCACUAAAUGUUAUAUGUGUGGUUAAAUAAGAUAAGCAAAUUCUACUAAUUCCUCGUACUCAUUUUUCCGGGUUAAAGUCUGGUGCCGAGCGGAACACUGAGAGUGGCUUAGCCGCUUGGUUAGAUGGAGAACGACGACCUGCAUCAGUGUGGAGUAAGGCCUAAGCUUUGAGGCUCGCAGAAUCGCAAAGUACUCAGCUGUAUGGAUUAGGUUCCUGUAUUUUCUGUUAAAUACUAGUCCUAUUUUCUUCUGUAGAUGUCAAGGGUGCUCUUACAACAGAUACAUACUAACGUUCUUCGGGUCACGAUAUUCUGUUUCUUUAUUAUACGAGAUUUUGAUUAAGCUCGACAGACAUUUCGAAAUUUUACGCUUCUAAAUGCCUUUGCACAAGUAUUAUUGCCGUCUGGCCGCAGUGAAAACCAUCUUCAUUCUAGAGUACUUGAAUACGUACUCCAACAGUCUAGUUCAUCUCAACCCUCUAUUUCAACUAAGUGCAGGGUCUUCAUGAUGAUCCGGACAAGGAUACUUCUAACAGAGUGAAUGGCACCAGGAUGACGUAGAAGUUAUAAACGGUUUUUAUAUACUUUCAAGUCAUUCAAGAUAGAAUUAAAACUAUAAAAUGCAACAGUGUACUUGGUGAACUCUGCACCUUACAGAUAUAAGGUGCCGAGAGAUGAAAGUCUUAAGGAAAGCUACCAGUAUUCACUCUGAGGGUGUUCGCGGGUUGAGGUAGUAGGUUGUAUAGUUGAGAACUACAUCUUUGGGGAGAACUGUACAGCCUGCUAACUUUCCCUGGGUCAUCCCAAACCGCCCAGAAAAUCAUCCUUCUCACGUGAUAUUUCAGAUUCUAUUUCCUUACUACACGUGGAGCUGCAGUGUGUUUUUAGGUGAAAACUAAAUUUUACUCAUUACAGUAUUUCUGGACAUUAAAACCCAACUAAGUGUUAAGAAGAAUAACUUAUCUGUCGUAAAUUGCAGACGCCAUUUUUUACAGUUGCAUAUCAUGUAUCUGUGCAAACGUUUAGAAGUAACCGUUUUUGUUUUCCAGAGGAGUAGUUUCAUAAUUUACUCAUUAAAUGUUCUAGAAUGUUCGUGACGGCUUAUAACAUUAGCAUCAAGCUAUUUGAUUUAUGUACUGAACUAAGAUUCUUGGUUUGUUAAGAUAAAUAUAUUCAAAAAAUAAAAUGAAAUAAAAAUGAAACGUAUUUGAUAUGGUUUAUUCAAAAUAGUCCUGGCUAUAUUAACUGUAAAAUUUUACCGAUAGCAAAGUCAAGGUCACUGAUUGCACUGGUUGUAUUUUUUUAUCUCUGUCGCAAAUAAAAUAUCUGUAAGA